GCUCCAGUGGCGCAAUCGGUCAGCGCGCGGUACUUAUAAUGCCGAGGUCGUGAGUUCAACCCUCACCUGGAGCA